rnacentral:rRNA from 1 species
UGGGGAAUAUCGGACAAUGGGCGCAAGCCUGAUCCAGCCAUGCCGCGUGAGUGAUGAGGGCCCUAGGGUUGUAAAGCUCUUUCACCGGUGAAGAUAAUGACGGUAACCGGAGAAGAAGCCCCGGCUAACUUCGUGCCAGCAGCCGCGGUAAUACGAAGGGGGCUAGCGUUGUUCGGAUUUACUGGGCGUAAAGCGCACGUAGGCGGACUUUUAAGUCAGGGGUGAAAUCCCGGGGCUCAACCCCGGAACUGCCUUUGAUACUGGAAGUCUUGAGUAUGGUAGAGGUGAGUGGAAUUCCGAGUGUAGAGGUGAAAUUCGUAGAUAUUCGGAGGAACACCAGUGGCGAAGGCGGCUCACUGGACCAUUACUGACGCUGAGGUGCGAAAGCGUGGGGAGCAAACAGG